rnacentral:rRNA from 1 species
UGGGGAAUUUUGGACAAUGGGGGAAACCCUGAUGCAGCGACGCCGCGUGAGUGAUGAAGGCCUUCGGGUCGUAAAGCUCUGUCGUAUGGGACUAACAAAAUGAAGGUACCAUGCAAGAAAGGAUCGGCUAACUUCGUGCCAGCAGCCGCGGUAAGACGAGGGAUCCUAGCGUUGUUCGGAAUUAUUGGGCGUAAAGCGGGUGUAGGCGGACUUAUAAGUCAGGUGUGAAAUCCCAGGGCUCAACCCUGGAAGUGCACUUGAUACUGCAAGUCUUGAGUGUGGUAGAGGCUAUUAGAAUUCCUGGUGUAGUGGUGAAAUACGUAGAUAUCAGGAGGAAUACCGGAGGCGAAGGCGGAUAGCUGGGCCAACACUGACGCUGAGACCCGAAAGCGUGGGGAUCAAACAGGAUUAGAUACCCGUGUAGUCCCUGAGCGGGCUGGCAAGGCGCAU